rnacentral:rRNA from 1 species
UACAGAGGGGGCAAGCGUUGUUCGGAAUUACUGGGCGUAAAGGGCGCGUAGGCGGCCCGCUAAGUCGAACGUGAAAUCCCCGAGCUCAACUCGGGAACUGCGUCCGAUACUGGUGGGCUUGAAUCCGGGAGAGGGAUGCGGAAUUCCAGGUGUAGCGGUGAAAUGCGUAGAUAUCAGGAGGAACACCUGUGGUGUAGACAGCUUACUGGACCACUUCUGACGCUGAGACACGAAAGCGUGGGUAGCAAACAGG